rnacentral:sRNA from 1 species
UUUGUACCGUAAGUUCCAUGGGGAGUGC